GAAACACUGAUGGACACUCGAGUGGGAGAGCAAGCGGACAGAGAGAUGUCUACUGAUACCAUGUCACCUUGCUGUGGUCUGCUCUGGCCUCUCUCUGACGUCCAUCACUAGAAAGCAAAUGCCACGGAAAAAGCGAGGGGAACUUUUACAUGCACAUGAUGAGAAGCCAACUGCUGAAUAUUUCCCCAAACAUAAUAGGAUCCUCUGAUGUUUUCCGAUUUGUAACCUCAUGCCCC